UACAGAGGGUGCAAGCGUUAAUCGGAAUUACUGGGCGUAAAGGGCGCGUAGGCGGCUUGGUAAGUCGGAUGUGAAAGCCCCGGGCUUAACCUGGGAACUGCAUUCGAGACUGCCUGGCUAGAGUAUGAUAGAGGGAAGCGGAAUUCCACAUGUAGCGGUGAAAUGCGUAGAUAUGUGGAGGAACAUCAGUGGCGAAGGCGGCUUCCUGGAUCAAUACUGACGCUGAGGCGCGAAAGCGUGGGGAGCAAAC
rnacentral:rRNA from 1 species